rnacentral:tRNA from 1 species
GGUGACGUGACAGAGUGGCCGAUUGUGCUCGCCUCGAAAGCGAGUGAGGGAAACCUCCGCGGGUUCAAAUCCCGCCGUCACCG